GAGAAGCCUGAGGAAGAGGGCGGCGGCAGUGGUGGUGACUGAGCGGAGCCCGGUGACAGGAUGUUGGUGUUGGUAUUAGGAGAUCUGCACAUCCCACAGCGGUGCAACAGUUUGCCAGCUAAAUUCAAAAAACUCCUGGUGCCAGGAAAAAUUCAGCACAUUCUCUGCACAGGAAACCUUUGCACCAAAGAGAGUUGUGACUAUCUCAAGACUCUGGCUGGUGAUGUUCAUAUUGUGAGAGGAGGCUUCGAUGAGAAUCUGAAUUAUCCGGAACAGAAAGUUGUGACUGUUGGACAGUUCAAAAUUGGUCUGAUCCAUGGACAUCAAGUUAUUCCAUGGGGAGAUAUGGCCAGCUUAGCCCUGUUGCAGAGGCAGUUUGAUGUGGACAUUCUUAUCUCGGGACACACACAGAAAUUUGAAGCAUUUGAGCAUGAAAAUAAAUUCUACAUUAAUCCAGGUUCUGCCACUGGGGCAUAUAAUGCCUUGGAAACAAAUAUUAUUCCGUCAUUUGUGUUGAUGGAUAUCCAGGCUUCCAGAGUGGUCACCUAUGUGUAUCAGCUAAUUGGAGAUGAUGUGAAAGUAGAACGAAUUGAAUACAAAAAAUCUUAAAGCCAGGCCUGUCUUGAUGAUUUUUUUUUUCAUUGUCCUGUUGAAAUCAAGUAAUUAAACAUUUAAGAGCCAC